GAUGAAGAACGUAGCGAAAUGCGAUAACUAAUGUGAAUUGCAGAAUUCAGUGAAUCAUCGAGUCUUUGAACGCACAUUGCGCCCCCUGGUAUUCCGGGGGGCAUGCCUGUCCGAGCGUCAUUGCUGCCCUCAAGCACGGCUUGUGUGUUGGGCUCCGUCCCCCCGGGGACGGGCCCGAAAGGCAGCGGCGGCACCGAGUCCGGUCCUCGAGCGUAUGGGGCUUUGUCACCCGCUCUGUAGGCCCGGCCGGCGCCAGCCGACACCCCAUCAUCCUUUUCAGGUUGACCUCGGAUCAGGUAGGGAUACCCGCUGAACUUAAGCAUAUCAAUAAGCGGAGGA
rnacentral:misc_RNA from 1 species